rnacentral:rRNA from 1 species
GAUGAACGCUGGCGGCGUGCCUAAUACAUGCAAGUCGAGCGAACAGACGAGGAGCUUGCUCCUCUGAUGUUAGCGGCGGACGGGUGAGUAACACGUGGAUAACCUACCUAUAAGACUGGGAUAACUUCGGGAAACCGGAGCUAAUACCGGAUAACAUGUUGAACCGCAUGGUUCAACAGUGAAAGACGGUCUUGCUGUCACUUAUAGAUGGAUCCGCGCCGCAUUAGCUAGUUGGUAAGGUAACGGCUUACCAAGGCAACGAUGCGUAGCCGACCUGAGAGGGUGAUCGGCCACACUGGAACUGAGACACGGUCCAGACUCCUACGGGAGGCAGCAGUAGGGAAUCUUCCGUAAUGGGCGAAAGCCUGACGGAGCAACGCCGCGUGAGUGAAGAAGGUCUUCGGAUCGUAAAACUCUGUUAUUAGGGAAGAACAAAUGUGUAAGUAACUAUGCACGUCUUGACGGUACCUAAUCAGAAAGCCACGGCUAACUACGUG